AAAUAAACAGAACCAUCGCCAGAGGCUGUGCGCUCCUUUGUAAGAGAUAAGUUCUGAAGAGAGAGUGAGAGACACUCCCAUGGAAAUACUCUGCUUUUGAGAAGCAUCUACACAUAUCCUGUAGGGGCAUGAAGUGCUGUGAUGCUUGCAAUGUCCUGAGUAUUAAUGGUACAACUACUCCACCAAACUCUUCAGGUCCAACUGGAAAACAUACAAUAUCAUUCUACCAUCAAGUCCAACCUGGAAUACUGCAAGUUUUAAUUAGUCUUUGCUUACAUUUGGCUCUUUGCUCCCUUUUCCCUCUUGUAUCCAAAGUAAUCUUAAAAUUAAA